rnacentral:lncRNA from 1 species
CCCAACUCCUCCCAACCCCUCAUAGCCCUGCUCUGGAGCAGGUAAAUAUUCCUCACGCCAGCAGGUGAGGAGGCUGGGGCCAGAUGACAGCUAGUGAGGGAGCAGAGACAAGACAAGGCGAGCCUGUGACAGAGCGAGACCCUGUCUCAAAAAACAAAAACAAGACAUGUGAGCUUGGACUCCAGUGUGGAAUCCCAUGUCCGCUCAGUGCACCUUUCUGCCGCUGAAAGUACAAGAGGAGAGGGGAAACCCACAGGUGGAGCUGACCAUGAGGACUGUCACAGAGCAACUAGCACCAGCCUCAGCAUGGAGCAGGACUUCAGUUCCAGCAGCGAGGACUGAGAUCAGACACAAGAGAAAGCUCCCUGAUGAGGAGGGGUGAUUCUAAAACGAAGGGCGGAAAUUAUCUGGGGAAUUUCCUUCCCGUGAAGCCUCAGGAACAUGCCAGUCCCCCACUUCGGUCUGUCCUGGGGGGUCUCACGCCCCUGUCCUCCUAGAGAAAUCUAGAUCCUCCAAACUCUGCCUGGGUUCUUCCUGGGGAGUCUUGACCCCUGCCUUGUGGUUGAUGUGGGAUAGGGGACCCGGGAACAGGGCUGCCUUCCUCUGGCCAAGGCCUGGCAAGCAAGUGUGGGAUGGGUGCUGUCUUCCUGAGAGGGACAAUAGAAGUGACAGAGCCCCCUAAUUCAAGACCCUGCAGAGGUGGUGUGAGAUCUUAUAAUAUCAGUCUCUAAGCCAGUGCCUCUCAAGCUCUCUUUGGUGAAGAAUCAAUUUUUAAAAUAUAUAAUCAGUCACAGAUCAAUGCUUUUGUAAAAUGCAAUAAAAGUUAAUUUCCAAAAAAAUCACAUACUUGGGUACCAUGGUAAUGUCAAUGUAAAAUUGCUGUAAAAUUGUUCUAAGUGCUUACUCUCAAUGUCUGUGCUCAGCUUAUCAGCAACCAGUAACAGUUUGUACCACUGGUUUGUACCACGACAACCAUGCUACACUUGGAGCUGACACUUUCAUAAAGGUUAAUUUCCCUCUUUUCCUUCCUGAAGUUUGACCUCUUCCUUGAUUAGAUAGGAGGAGGGAUUCCGACAGCCCCUCACCAUCUGUUUAGAACCUCUCCCCCCAUUGCAGGUCCUUCCUGGUCAUCUAACACCAUAUGCCAUAUGGAACAGUCCUGAUUAUACAUAUUCUGUCUCAUGGGCAAUGUGUUCUGAUUUGGGUCUUUUUUUUUUUUUUUUUUUUUUUUGAGACAGAUACUCUGUCACUCAGGUUGGAGUGCAAUGGCAUGAUCAUAGCUCACACUGCAGCCUCCAACUCCUGGGCUCAAGCGAUCCUCCUGCCUCAACCUCCCUUGUAGCUAGGACUACAGGUGUGAGUCAUCACCAUAGCUGAUUUUUUUUUACUUUUGUUAUUUGUAGAGAUGAGGACUCACUGUGUUGCCCAGGCUGGUCUUGAACUCCUGACCUCAAGCAAUCCUCCCACCUCAGCCUCCCGAAGUGCUGGGAUGAGCCACCCAUUCACACAGGCAUGAGGCACUGCACCUAGCUUGAUUUUUUUUUCUAUUGACUGCCCUACAGUAGAUGUGUUCGUGAAAACGUGAGCAUAGAUUCUGUAUUUGAUGCAAAAAAGAAUGAGGAGAACUGGGUCCCAAGGCAGGCAAGCCCUUCCUGGGAUGGUUAUAGGAACCAAAAGUGUCCUGCUGAGUGGGACACAGUGCAAAGGCUUCUGCCUGGAAUUAUAACAACUGCAGUUACAAUUUUUUUUGAGCACCUAAGAUAUGCCAGACCCUGAGCUUCACAAGCCGUAUCUCUAUCUUUCCCAGCAAUUUUGCAAAAUAGAUAUGAUUUGUCUAAUUUAAAAUGAGCUAUAUCAACUCCAUGUGGCUAUGCAGGUGCUAUGCAGCCUAGAAGGCUUUAAAACGGCAUCUUCCAAAUGCUGGUCUGGGAGCAGCUUCACAGCAUCCUGAGGAGCUUUUUAAAAAUGCAGACACCCAGCCCCACAUCCUCGAUUUUUAUUCGAAGCCUGUGAGCCUUCCCCAGGCCCCCCAGGUGACUCCGAAUCCUGGCUGGCUCUGGCACUGCGGUUCUGGGCUGCUAAGGGCUGGGGUCUUGUGGGCUGAGGGGGAACCAUAGGAAAAGUCCAGGAAAAGCCACAAUGGGAAGGGUGCCUGGGAGGGAACUUCAGUAAACUAUAAUACAGCCAUAUGGCAGCAUACUAUACAGCCCUUAAAAAUGAAGAAUUUGGCUGGGCAAAGUGGCUCAUGGCUAUAAUCCCAACACUUUGGGAGGUCAAGGCAGGUGGAUCACCUGAGGUCAGGAGAUCAAGACCAGCCUGACUGACAUGGUGAAAUCCCAUCUCUACUAAAAAUGCAAAAAUUAGCCAGGCGUGGUGGGACACACCAGUAGUCCUAGAUACUCAGGAGGCUGAGGCAGGAAAAUCGCUUGAACCCGGGAGGCAGAGGUUGCAGUGAGCUGAGAUCCCGCCACUGCACUCCAGCCUAGGUGACAGAGCAAGACUCCGUCUCAAAAAAAAAGAAUUUGUGAUAACAUUAGAACAGACAUUAAGGGAACAAGACAGGUAAUAAAUUGCGUAUAUAGUUUUGCCACAGCUGUAUAACAAAUGCAAAAGUGCAUGUUUUUUUAAAAAAAAGACUGGAAGGAAAAACAAAAUGUUUUAUUGGUUAUCUCCACAUGAAGAUUCUAUGUGAUUUUACCUUCCUCUGUACACUUUUCUCCCUAGGGAGCGUGUUACCUUUCUAAAUAGAAAAGCGUAAGUGUGUUUUUGAAAGAGAAAAGUCUGUCAUCCUCUGUCACCCCAGCCAGCAGAAGUCAACUUUCACAUUCUGGAGUUAGGCAGAAAUUGCUGGGGUUUUUGUUUUCUUCUUCCCUCUGAGGGCAGGAAAUAACUCUUUCCCACUGGGUUUCCUGCUGGAGUUGGAGGCCCAGAAAAAUUCUGGCUGAAGACUGGAGGCAGGUAUAAACAUGCCAGGCUUGCAAGGUCCUCUGUGAGUGGCUCUUGGGUAUCUCUGCGUCCCUCUCUCUCCAGCACCUGCUCUGGGAGCUGUUUCUGGAAAGCACCAUCACCACUUUUGCAAGGCCGUCCUCUCUACCUGGAAGGCUCUUCCCUGCUCCUCUCUUGCUUAACUAACAUCCUUCGGCCAUUGUCUUAGGUGUCCAUGUUCUAAGGCCCAUCUUCCCUGACCCCCAGUACUGAGUCAGGACCCCCAAGAGCUCCCAGAACACCCUGUUCUCCCUGAUUUGAUUGUCAUCAUGGGUUACUUCUAAGGCUCCCCAAGGGUUGGGACUCUAUAUCCGGUGCAUUAUCAAAGCCUGGUACACAGCAGGCACUCAAUAAAUGUUUACUGAAUGAAUGAAGAAAUCCUGCCUUGAGAUCCAAGGUACCAAAGGAGCUCUGAGAGAGGCAGGUGUCAUCCCAAGGAGCUCUGGUACCUGCCUCUCUCAGAGCUCCUUGGAGGAAAGGGUCCAGGUAGUUCUUUCUGCAUAAAGCUGUUAUGGCUGGUGCCAUGUGAUUCAAAAACCACCUCCACCACCUGCUCCAAGGGAUUAGACCGGAGAUAGGAAGGCAAGCAGACAGCGGGCAGGAGGGGGCUGGCCUCCUCUUCAAUGGCUUGCUCAGAAACUCUGCCCCAUGCAGGGACUCUGUCUAGGGUGGUGGCUAACUGGC